AGCGAACGCUGGCGGCAGGCCUAACGCAUGCAAGUCGAACGAACCUUUCGGGGUUAGUGGCGGACGGGUGAGUAACACGUGGGAACGUGCCUUUAGGUUCGGAAUAACUCAGGGAAACUUGUGCUAAUACCGAAUGUGCCCUUCGGGGGAAAGAUUUAUCGCCUUUAGAGCGGCCCGCGUCUGAUUAGCUAGUUGGUUGAGGUAAUGGCUCACCAAGGCGACGAUCAGUAGCUGGUCUGAGAGGAUGAUCAGCCACAUUGGGACUGAGACACGGCCCAAACUCCUACGGGAGGCAGCAGUGGGGAAUCUUGCGCAAUGGGCGAAAGCCCGACGCAGCCAUGCCGCGUGAAUGAUGAAGGUCUUAGGAUUGUAAAAUUCUUUCACCGGGGACGAUAAUGACGGUACCCGGAGAAGAAGCCCCGGCUAACUUCGUG
rnacentral:rRNA from 1 species